UGUACUUUCUUUAAACAUAUUUAAAGUAUGCUUACAACAUAUUUGCGCGUAUUUUUUACAAUUAAACUUUAAACAUACUUCAAAAUAAUUAUACUUUAGUAUAUUUUCUAAAAGUAUACUUUAGAAAAAUAUACUUAAAGUUAAAGUUUUGUGCAAUUUUUAAAGUAUACUAAAUUUAAACUUAUUUUAAAAUGUAUUUUAGGUAUACUUUAUCGGUAUGCUUAAAGUUAUCAUUAUAAUAAUGCACUGACAGUAUAUUUCUAAAAUACAUUAUUUAGUAUUCUUUAGAAACAGUAUAUUUUAAGCACAUUUUGAAAGUAUAUGGGGUGUACAAGUAUAUUAUUUUAUGGAGAAAUAACGUGGGCUUAAAAUUACGAGAGAGCAGUAUGUUCUGUUACAUUUUAUAUUGUAGAUGUAUACAUUUGUAAUAUACUAUUAACAUAAUAAGGUACACUUUAACUUCACUAUAGUCAAGCAUUGGAUAAACCAUUGAACUGUGUUUUACCACAAAAUGACCAUGGUUUUGCUAAUAAUAAUCAACACACCAAAAAAAAAAAAAAACAUGGUUACUAAACUUUUACCACAAAAAAACAUUCAUUUUCGUAAGGGGAAUAUGAGUGUUUGUUUUUUUGUAGUUUUUGAGUCAAUUGCAUACCGCUUUUAGCUGUACACAUUAAUUAACUUAAACAGUUUUCGUAAAUGCAUUUCAGAGAAAAGUGAAUUCUGAGAUUUGAAUAAUGCAUCUGACGUGUGGGAUGACGUCACGACGCACGUAUUUUGAUUUUUACCAGUCGCUCAAGACAGACGGAUUCAGUCCCAAGAAGCUAAAGUUUUUCAAAGACAUUUGUAGGGAGGACUUUGCAGCUAAUGAUUUCCUUAGGCUGAACCAAAACCUGCCAGACUAAAGUUGAUUUGGGAGAGAAAGACGUUGUAAACUUAAUCAUCUUGACAUUCUUCAAUGAGUAAUUGUUCAAUUUUUAGGCAAAUACUGUACACUUUGAAUGCUGUGAAUAAAACUAUAUUUUAAAUAUAUUUAAAA